rnacentral:lncRNA from 1 species
GUCUAGCGGGCAGAUGUCAUCUGACCUUGACCUCAUUUUCAUGGUUCAGUGGUCAAAGUUAAGUUUUUAAGUUUUGGUCUUUUUGUCUAAUAUUAUAUGCCAAAGGUCAACUAUAUUUGGUGUAUGGAAAUAUAUUAUGAUCUAUAUGUCAGUCCCGCAGGUUUUAUUUGACCAUGACCUCAAUUGCACGGUUCAUUGCACAGUGUUAAGUUUUUGUGUUUUGGUCUAUUUUUCUUAAACUAUAAGUAGUAGGUCAACUAUAUUUGUUGUAUGGAAGCUUUGUUAGCUGUACAUGUCUGCCUGGCAUGGUUCAUCUGACCUUGACCUCAUUUUCAUUGUUCAUUGGUCUUUGUUUAGCUAUCUUGGUUAAUGUUAAGUUUAUAUGACAGUUGUAAUAAAGCUUUAUACUUAGGACUAUCAACAUAAUAUCAAUGAUUAGUAAAGAAGGCGAG